rnacentral:tRNA from 1 species
GGGGUUGUGGCUCAGCGGUAGAGCGCUCACCUAGCAGGCGUGGGGCCCUGUGUUCGAUCCUCAGCACUACA